CAUAGGUUUGGUCCCAGCCUUCCUGUUAACUCUUAAUAAACUUACACAUGCAAGCAUCUACACCCCAGUGAGAGUGCCCUCUAGGUUAUUAAAACUAAGAGGAGCUGGCAUCAAGCACACACCCUGUAGCUCACGACGCCUUGCUUAACCACACCCCCACGGGAAACAGCAGUGACAAAAAUUAAGCCAUAAACGAAAGUUUGACUAAGUUAUAUUAAUUAGGGUUGGUAAAUCUCGUGCCAGCCACCGCGGUCAUACGAUUAACCCAAGCUAACAGGAGUACGGCGUAAAACGUGUUAAAGCACCAUACCAAAUAGGGUUAAAUUCUAACUAAGCUGUAAAAAGCCAUGAUUAAAAUAAAAAUAAAUGACGAAAGUGACCCUACAAUAGCCGACGCACUAUAGCUAAGACCCAAACUGGGAUUAGAUACCCCACUAUGCUUAGCCCUAAACACAGAUAAUUACAUAAACAAAAUUAUUCGCCAGAGUACUACUAGCAACAGCUUAAAACUCAAAGGACUUGGCGGUGCUUUAUAUCCUUCUAGAGGAGCCUGUUCUAUAUAUC
rnacentral:rRNA from 1 species